rnacentral:rRNA from 1 species
GACGAACGCUGGCGGUGGGCUUAACACAUGCAAGUCGAACGGAAAGGCCCUGCUUUUGUGGGGUGCUCGAGUGGCGAACGGGUGAGUAACACGUGAGUAACCUGCCCUUGACUUUGGGAUAACUUCAGGAAACUGGGGCUAAUACCGGAUAGGAGCCCCUGCUGCAGGGUGGGGGUUGGAAAGUUUCGGCGGUUGGGGAUGGAUUCGCGGCUUACCAGCUUGUUGGUGGGGUAGUGGCUUACCAAGGCUUUGACGGGUAGCCGGCCGGAGAGGGUGACCGGCCACAUUAGGACUGCGGGACGGCCCAGACUCCAACGGGAGGCAGCGGUGGCAAAUAUUGCACAAUGGGCGGAAGCCUGAUGCGGCAACGCCGCGUGCGGGAUGACGGCCUUCGGGUUGUAAACCGCUUUCGCCUGAGACGAAGCGGGAGUGACGGUAAUGGGUAAAGAAGCACCGGCUAACUACGUG